AAAUAUUUUUUAUUCGAGGUUUAUUGAAUCUACAUAUGUGGAACCCAUGAAUGGGAGUCGGAGAAGGGGGCAACUGUAUACGCAAAAAGCUAUCAUAAUUGCCAAAAUAGUGAUAACAAUGUUGAAACACUACUGGGAUUACUACUGUUAAUGACUACCAGUGAUCAAGCACCUCCCCUGCCCCAGUGUUUGCCUGCCUUGUUUGAAGACACGAAAAAAUGUACACAAAAUGAUUUAGAACUGUUGAACUUUUCAGAAAAUAAUUUAAAAUCAUCUACCUCAUAACUAAAGGACACUGAAUUGGAGCCAGCUGAUGUAAGGAGCUUACCUUGGUUGUCACCUUCUGUUCUCUGUUUGAGGAACAACUGCAUGUGAUUAAGGGUAACAGAUACAGAAUUUGUGUUAAGCCCAGGAUGUAAUUCGUUGAAUGAGUAGCAAUUGACUUGAAAAUUGGAUGGAUGGGGAUUGCGUUUCUUUACUCUCUCUCUCUUUUCUUUCUCCCUCUCAAUAUGGCUAGAUUAAAUCAUCUUUAGUCUAGUCAAAUCAGUGCUUGCUGUUGUUAAGAAGGAUAUUCUUGAGGUAUAGUACUUCAGGGAUGCUAAUUGGGAUUUGAGCAGGAUGAAAUUUCUACCCAGGCGUGUGCAUUGUAUACUGGAGAUGGCAAAAACUGGUUCCAAAUGAGGGUGUGUUUGUGUUCCUAGGCAUUUUCCUAUAGGGGCCAAAAAGAUGCAAAAUCUUCUUUUCUAAAGCUUUUGGUGGUUCUCAAGCUUGUCUACACAAUGGAAUCACCUGGAGAAUUUGGAAAACCAAAAAUACUGAUACCACUGAUCCUACCCAACAGAUUCUAUUUUAAUUGGUAUGGAGUAUGGCCUCAGCACUGAUAUUUUUUAAAGUUUCUGAGGCGAUCCUAAUGUGCAGCAAAGCACCGUCAAGCCCCCUCUCUCUGAGGAGGCACCAGCUGCAAGCAUGUUUUACACCAAUAUGUUUGCUGAAUAUAAACAUCCCAGUGCAAACUCUUGCACCCCAGAACUCUGGGCUGCUUGUGGACAGUCUUU